GUUUGAUCCUGGCUCAGGAUGAACGCUGGCGGCAUGCCUAAUACAUGCAAGUCGAACGAGAGGAAGGAAAGCUUGCUUUUCUAAAUCUAGUGGCGAACGGGUGAGUAACACGUAGGUAACCUGCCCAUGUGCCCGGGAUAACUUCUGGAAACGGAUGCUAAAACCGGAUAGGUAGCAGACAAGCAUUUGACUGCUAUUAAAGUGGCUAAGGCCAUGAACAUGGAUGGACCUGCGGUGCAUUAGCUAGUUGGUGAGGUAACGGCCCACCAAGGCGACGAUGCAUAGCCGGCCUGAGAGGGCGGACGGCCACAUUGGGACUGAGACACGGCCCAAACUCCUACGGGAGGCAGCAGUAGGGAAUUUUCGUCAAUGGGGGGAACCCUGAACGAGCAAUGCCGCGUGAGUGAGGAAGGUCUUCGGAUCGUAAAGCUCUGUUGUAAGAGAAAAACGGCACUCAUAGGGAAUGAUGAGUGAGUGAUGGUAUCUUACCAGAAAGUCACGGCUAACUACGUGCCAGCAGCCGCGGUAAUACGUAGGUGGCGAGCGUUAUCCGGAAUGAUUGGGCGUAAAGGGUGCGUAGGUGGCAGAUCAAGUCUGGAGUAAAAGGUAUGGGCUCAACCCGUACUUGCUCUGGAAACUGAUCAGCUAGAGAACAGAAGAGGACGGCGGAACUCCAUGUGUAGCGGUAAAAUGCGUAGAUAUAUGGAAGAACACCGGUGGCGAAGGCGGCCGUCUGGUCUGGAUUCUGACACUGAAGCACGAAAGCGUGGGGAGCAAAUAGGAUUAGAUACCCUAGUAGUCCACGCCGUAAACGAUGAGAACUAGGUGUUGGGGGAAUAACUCAGUGCCGCAGUUAACGCAAUAAGUUCUCCGCCUGGGGAGUAUGCACGCAAGUGUGAAACUCAAAGGAAUUGACGGGGGCCCGCACAAGCG
rnacentral:rRNA from 1 species